rnacentral:rRNA from 1 species
UACGUAGGGGGCAAGCGUUGUCCGGAAUCAUUGGGCGUAAAGAGCGUGUAGGCGGCCCGGUAAGUCCGCUGUGAAAGUCCAGGGCUCAAUCCUGGGAUGCCGGUGGAUACUGUCGGGCUCGAGUCCGGAAGAGGAGUGUGGAAUUCCUGGUGUAGCGGUGAAAUGCGCAGAUAUCAGGAGGAACACCAAUGGCGAAGGCAGCACUCUGGGACGUGACUGACGCUGAGACGCGAAAGCGUGGGGAGCAAACAGG